rnacentral:sRNA from 1 species
UCUUAGCCCUGAUGGGAACGACAUCCUUUUUUUUGCAUUGGCUUGAAAAAAACGUUGGCAAAAAAAAGAUAUAGUGGACAGCGGGAAAUAGC